UUUCCGUAGGUGAACCUGCGGAAGGAUCAUUAUUGUAUAACCGAGGUGCGAGGGCAGUCGCUGACCCGAAAGGUCGUGCACGCCCGAGUGCCCUCACACACAUCCAUCUCACCCCUAUGUGCACCACCGCGUGGGUCCCCCUUUGGCUUGUUCGGAGGGGGGCUUACGUGUUCACACAAACUUUGUAUGCAGUGUAGAAUGUAUUUUUUGUUUUUGCGAUCACGCAAUCAAUACAACUUUCAACAACGGAUCUCUUGGCUCUC
rnacentral:misc_RNA from 1 species